rnacentral:rRNA from 1 species
GACGAACGCUGGCGGCGUGCUUAACACAUGCAAGUCGAACGAGUGGCGAACGGGUGAGUAAUACGUGAGCAACCUGCCCUCUUUUUGGGAUAAGCCUUGGAAACGGGGUCUAAUACCGGAUAAAGGGGGAUGGGCUCGCGGCCUAUCAGCUUGUUGGUGGGGUGAUGGCCUACCAAGGCGGUGACGGGUAGCCGUCCUGAGAAGGUGACCGGCGACAUUGGGACUGAGCUACGGCCUAGACUCGUACGGGGGGCAGAAGUGGGGGAUAUUGCACAAUGGGCGAAAGACUGAUGCAGCGACGACGAGUGGGGGAUGAAGGCUGUCGGGUUGUAAACCUAUUUCGCUAUCGAAAGGGUAGGUGGAGAAGAAGCGCCGGCUAACUACGUGCCAGCAGCCGCGGUAAUAC